rnacentral:rRNA from 1 species
UGGGGAAUAUUGCACAAUGGAGGGAACUCUGAUGCAGCGACGCCGCGUGAGUGAUGAAGGAAUUCGUUUCGUAAAACUCUGUUCUAUGGGAAGAAAAGGACUGUACCAUAGGAGAAAGCUCCGGCUAAAUACGUGCCAGCAGCCGCGGUAAUACGUAUGGAGCGAGCGUUGUCCGGAAUUAUUGGGCGUAAAGGGUGCGCAGGCGGCUUUACAAGUUGGAUGUGAAAUAUUGUGGCUCAACCACAAACGUGCAUCCAAAACUGCAAAGCUUGAGUUAAAGAGAGGUAAGUGGAAUUCCUGGUGUAGCGGUGGAAUGCGUAGAUAUCAGGAGGAAUACCGGUGGCGAAGGCGACUUACUGGACUUAAACUGACGCUCAGGCACGAAAGCGUGGGGAGCAAACAGG